UAUCUGCAUUUCCCCGGGGCAGGUGCCUAGGGGCUCAGCCACUGUGCGUCUUCUGAAUGCCCUAAGGAUGUCCCCCAAUUAGGUUCCCAUCCUAGACUGCGGUAGGUGCCUCAUCGACCAGCCAGGCAAGAGAUCUUCUGUGAUUGCCAGCCACGUUUUGUCGGGAAUUACGCCGCAUCUUUCCUGUGGCCCACGCAGGAGAAAAAUGAAUGCUCAGGUGAAAUGGAAACCCCCCGAGGGGCCAAUGGAGGAAACACAGGAGCAGAUUCAAACUUCUGAACGUUCCACCUGCUGCCGAUGAUGUCCCGGGCGGAAGUGUGCCAUCCGUCAGGAGCUGCCCGGGGUCCAGGCCCUGCAACCCCAGCUCCACCCUGACCAGCUAGCCCUGCACGGUUUGCCGGGGGCGGGGAGACUGCCUUUUCUGCCUUCUGGUGGCCCUUUUGCAGCUGUUUCCUGGGCUCUGUCUCCUCGUGGAACGAAGUAACGCCUGAAGCAGCCCGUGUCCGGGGCGUGGCCCCUCUUAUGCCCUGGCCGCCAAAGGACAGGAGAGUCUCACUAAGCCUCACGCUGGCUCGUCAUCUGUUCUGCAAGUGAGGACAACGGGGCACCAGAGAGGCUGACGUGAUUCACCACGUGUGCGCUUACGGCCACCACAUCCAGGAGCUGCAUCUCUCCCCCGGGGCCCACGCUGCCCCCGCCCCAGCUCCCGUCCAUCAGUACCACAUUUCGCUUUGCACAUUUCCUGGGGGAAGAAUCCUAAUCUGGCUUUGGAAGUACUAUUAAUACCGACUUUACACUUUUCUUUGUCCAUUUGGAGCCAUUUGUUUUUUCUUUUCCGGGUCUCAAACAAUUCUGCAGACCUGUGAUGAGCCGGCUGGCCCGGCCGCACCCACACCCGCUGCCCCCCGCGCCCACAGCCUUAUCGUCACUCCUGCAGGCCAGCUGACUCCGGGUUGGCUCUGCACAGCAGAACUUCCUGGCGUCUGUCCCUGCCCUCGGGAACAUUCUGCCCUUCCUGGGAACAUGCCUUUGAGCUUGCCGAAGUCUGGUUUCCCUCCUACGCAUCCUGAGAGCUGCUUGCAAGAGACGAUGGACCAGCUUCACCUGCCCCCUCACUCCCUGGGCCUCAGCGCCUUCCCUGCACCCAGGUCGCCCGCGAGCAUCGAUUUCACACAGAUGAACAGCUCCUUCCCAUGGGAGUUCAAGAUAACUCCUGCCGCUCAGUCAUCUUUAAAAUUGUUCCUUAACUGUC